AAAGGAGUUGAAGCUAUACCUACCGUUCAGUACUAAUGUGUUAACCAGUGAAACUAUAAUGAUGAGUUUUUUCAGAUCUUAAGUUUAACUUCAACCUAAAUUGUUAAAUAUUUGAAUUGAAUUGGAGAAGCUUUAAAAGUUAAUGGAAAGUUGGAUUGUUUGAAGAUUUACAUAGAAAGUAGUUCUUGUAUGCCUCUUUCAUUUUUUUCCCUUUCCUCCGUUAAAUCUCUCCAAGAUUUUUACGUUUGUUACCUCUACCAAUCAUUGAUUAUUAUUGAGUCCUAUCUAUCAUGUUUCAGUUACAGGAUACAAACUAACUUGUUAUUGACCAAUAGUUAAGUCUUAAUGAACUUGGGCAUCAAGGAAGAAUAUUAGGUGCUCUUCAUGAUCAAGUCUGUUGCAUUUAUCUCAGUUUUCCCAUGGUGUUAAAUUCAUUUAAUGCCACUUCUUGAUGAUUGUUAGAGACCAAAAAACAAGGAUGGAAAUGAAAAUGCAGAACAGGGAUGAUAUAUGAACUGGGAUAUAAUUUGUUAAGGUUUUGUUAUUUUAUAUCAUAAUCGUCUUUUUGAACUACAGGCAAAGGAGAGGAUAUGUAGACUAGUUCAGAGCAGUGUUGAAAUGGGGCUAGACUUCUACUUGAUGGAAGAGAUAUUGUGGUGUUAAACUUUACUUUUGGAGCAAGAAACUAAGUUUUCAGAGCUUGCUUGAGAGGUACCGGGAUAUGAAAGUGGAAACUUUGUUGGUCCUACUAUCUUAUGUGAUGUUACAACCAGCAUGGAAUGUUACAAGGAAGAAAGUUUUGGACCAGUUCUACUUUUGAAGUGGUCACUGGUUCAGUGCUGAAUAACCAGUAACCAAAGUUAAAUGUCCAUUUACUCUUUACUCUAAUGCUAGUUCAUAACAAUUUCCAUAUUAAAAUGUGCCAAAGUGAUAUAGCACGGUUACUCUUCUAGUUCUUUGGCUUUAGCCUCUUUCUCUGCAUGCUUCCGCUGGCACUCUUCAAGUGUGCCUAAGCAAACACUUCUGAAAGAACAUUUAAACCAUGCAGAACGUUGUCACAAUAAACAAAGUUCAUUUAAACCAUGCAGAACAUUGUCAUCAGAAUGGUGAAGCUUUGCAGCUUUUCAUGUUAACUUUGAUACAUGUGUAGCUUCUUCAUGCAUAAGGUACUUUGCAGAACAUUGAAGCACGAAUCAGAAUGGUGCCAUCAGUCUUAACUUGGGUUCACAACAAAC